GUGCUUGCUUCAGCAGCACAUAUACGAAAAUUGGAAUGAUAUAGAGAAAAUAAGCAUGGCCCCUGCACAGGGAUGACAUACAAAUUUGUGAAGCAUUCCAUAUUUUU
rnacentral:snRNA from 1 species